rnacentral:lncRNA from 1 species
GUUUUAUCGAGAUUCUGUCCCACCAUCUUUCCACGCCAGGACGACCUUGCAAGUAUGCUUUGCCUUUUCGGCUGCUUGAACUUGAUGGUAUGAAGUUUCUGCCCACCUGUUUUACAGUGCUCCAUAUGAGCAGGUGGCAGCUAGAGACUUUGAACUCCGGAAGGAAGGCUCCAAGGAAUAUUUGUUACUGGUUUAAAACAAUCAUGAUAUAUGCAGUGAAGUCUAAAAACCCCAGCAACUCAGUACUCACAAUCAUCCAUUUACAAUGGCCCUGGAAGACACUCUUCACUCUACUUUGCUUACAUAAUUUUACCCUGAGGUAA